CAAUUCCUUUGAGUCAUGUUAAGGAUGUCAUUGAGGAAGUGAAGAAACAUUUAAAGCUGGGCAAGGUACAGUAUACAUCCCAAGACAUGUCAGAAAAAUGGGCCCAGAGUGCUGAUCCCUGGGAGUAGCUUGCAGGGAGAGCAUGUCAAGUGCAAAUCCUCAUGUCCAUCUGGGUCAUCUUUGCAGUGUCCUUCGUCCCAGCCAGCUUUGUCGUGUUUCUGAUCCAGGAGAGAAUCAGCAAAGUGAAGGACCUGCAGUUCGUCAGCAGAAUGAAGCCCAUCAUCUACUGGCUCUCCAAUUUUGUUGGAACAGCAAGCAAAUGGACCUGAAGUGACUGUCUCAGAGUUUUUAAGGGAAAACAAACCCUAAAGAAGAUGGUUUCAUUAUUCCUAAAUAUCCAGGUCAGACUCAUCAAAUGUGCAGAAGCAAGCGGGAGAGAUGGAUCCAACUCUGGCCCAGCUGAGUAGGAGGGCAGUAGCUCUACGUGUAAACUCUAGAUGCUGGUACUUGGGUGACAUCCCUGGACAAGUCCUAUGACAUUGUGGCUCCUCAUUGGUAACACCUUCAGAAAUGUAUCAACCCCAUGGAAAAUAUUGUACAAUAGGCUGCAAAUAGAAGAUCAAGGCAAAACAAUCUGCUGUGUGUUGCAACCUAAGAGGCAAGUUGACCUUCCAUUUAAGGUAAUUGCUAAAAACAUACAAAUAAUACAGAUCCAAGGUGGUAUCAGUUCAAUGAACUGAGUUGAAAUAAGCUAUGUGUUUUGGUGAUAGAAUAUUUCUUACUAUGAAGAGUCUAUGGAGAAUAGGCAUUUUAAAAAUUCUAAGAUGAUAUUUUCUUGGAUGUAGUAUGAAAAAGGAGAAAAGUGAAAAAAUAUGACCAAAAGAGUAAUUUGAAAUCCAAAGUAAUUUGAAUAUCCAAUAAAGGUAGAUAUUUAGUUAUAGAAUUUAUCUUUCUGGAGAAUAAAGAUUCAUUUAGUCAAAAUAUAGUCUCCUGGUCCAUGGUUCAGUAUA